UACGUAGGGUGCAAGCGUUAAUCGGAAUUACUGGGCGUAAAGCGUGCGCAGGCGGUUAUGUAAGACAGGUGUGGAAUCCCCGGGCUUAACCUGGGAACUGCAUUUGUGACUGCAUAGCUAGAGUACGGUAGAGGGGGAUGGAAUUCCGCGUGUAGCAGUGAAAUGCGUAGAUAUGCGGAGGAACACCGAUGGCGAAGGCAAUCCCCUGGACCUGUACUGACGCUCAUGCACGAAAGCGUGGGGAGCAAACAGG
rnacentral:rRNA from 1 species